GAGUCAGCAAUAUGACCAUUCCUGCCGAAACAAAGCAAAAAGAGCUCUCAAUUGUGAGAGGGAGUCUCCCUAAGAGCUGAGGCCGCAUGCUAAUUUAAACAGUAGCUCAGGAACCCCUGCAAACACACUGCUUGGUAGAGCCCAGUAAGUCUCUGUUGAUGGACGAACUUGGCCAGGAGGAACGCUGGAUCGGAAUUGCUCCCUCCAUAGUAGGUAAAGAAAUUGAGGAUCUGCCUACAAGUAUACGCCAGAAAUGGGGUGCCCUGAAACACAGGUCUGCUAAUUCUACUCCCCUUUAAGGCCUUUUGAAGAUCGAUGUGUCCCCAGUCCACGGGAACACCACAGACACCGUCUCCACAUGUUGUCAGUGAGAGGAGCAUGUUUUAGACAUGCCUCCUAGAGCAGAGGAAGGAGUCAUAAAACUGGAUAUUGGAAGAAGAGCCCACUGUUGCCUACAAUGAAGAAUGGGAAGAAUUUAACCUACUCCUCAACGCCCCACGUGAGCUGACUUGAGAACCGCUGCGUGACUUCCCAGCUGCCCACGAGUUGGGAAAAGCUGCGCGGAGACCCACAAGUGAAUCUCACUCCCUCUGCAAGAAAACAAGUUACAUGAAAAUCUUUGUUAUGACAACAAGACUACGGAUUUGCAGAAAUAAAGACAAAUAAAUAAAUUUUAUGGGUAAUAAUUUAUUAAUUGUGUAUAACCUAAUUUAAUUUUUCAUGGAAGCAACAGACUAUCCAGGGAAUCAAACACAUUGGAUAUGACAGUAUGGAACUCGGGAAACCGAGAUCAUAAAAGAGACCUCUCUUGGAUCACUCGCUAUGCGGGAAGCCAGCUGCCAUGUCAUGAGGAUAAUCAAGCUGCUCUGUGGAGAGGCCCAUGUGGUGGGGUCUACUGCCAGCAGUCAUGGGUGAGCUUGGAAACAGAUUCUCCAGCCCUACUCAAGCUUUCGGAUCACUGCACCCCAGCAGAGAGCCUGACUGCAGCCUCACGAGAAAUCCUGAUCCAGAAGAAUCCACCUAAGCUAUCCCCAGAUUCCUGACUCUCAGAAACUGUGAGACAAUUUGUUUCAGGCUGCUAAGUUUUGAGCUAGUUUAUUAUUCAGAAUAGAAAACUGAUACAAAUAUUAUAGAAAUAUUCUGAGCAUUCCCACUGUACAUAUUCAUGGUUUUAAAUCUAUGAUGAUUAAUUCCUAAAAGUAGCAAGAAAAUUUGAGGCGGUUACCAAAAGUCAUGAUCUGGAGCCCACCUCUGACUAACUGCAGGGGACAUGACUGUCAUUCAUUCUGUCUAUCAGUCAUUUAAUAAAUACUUAUUAAAUUGUCUGCUAUCAGGCAGGUAAUCACUGCUCUCAGCCUUGGAGAUGCAAAGAUAAAUACAAUAGAGAGCAUGUUUGUAAAGGCUUUGUAAAGGCGUCAUAUUGCUGUGUUCUCCACCAUCUUAUCUACUACAGAUAAUAAAAAGAUUGAUGGAGUCCUACUUAA